GAAGGACGGGGGAGGACCGCUGCUUCCGGCGCCGUAACUGCUGCCAUCUUCUCCGCGCUAUGGCUGCGUUCGGCCGUCAGCAGCCUCGUCUUACAGCGUGACUGCAAAGAAAAAGACUUUUGUUUUGCAAAAGAAAAGCAGCUCGGUGACUCCGUCCACAUCGCCACAGUUGAGUCAGAUGGCAGUGGCAGUCCUUUGCCAGUGGAAGGAGUUCCUGCUAAGGGGAGGUGCAGGAGGACUAAUUUAUUAUUGUGCAACUGCCAGUCCUGCGCAUUCCAGCUACGCUAAGCGCCCUGCCCAGGCACGUAACAAAACAUAGACCUGUUUUGAAGUGGCUUGUUACCCAAGGGUGCCUCACUCAUCUGCGCCACCAGGAAGAUGAACUGUGAGGGCUCCUAUAAGGGGCAGGAAGAGCAAAGCUGUCCUAGGCCAACCAGAGAUUCAUCUUUCAUGCAGUGACAUGUUGAUAAAAAAUGAUGGAAGUACCACCAAGAACAGGGAAGGACAAGCCAGAGGCUGGAGGAAGAUACCUGCAGAACACAGACCUGACAAAGGAUCAGUAUCAAAACAUAUAAGAAUUUUGACAAAUGAAUAAAAAGAGUACAAAUAACCCAACAUAAAGUCAAAAGGCGUGAUCAGGCAUUUCACAGAAGCAAACACCUUUGGUGGAUGCCCAUGAGGAGAGGCGCAGUCACAUCAGUGCCCAGGAGAUGCAAACCCAGAUCCCAGGGGUGUGCAUCCCACCCGUUCUGCCUGUAGGAUCUGCAAACCCGGCAAAACCUAGUUCUAGAGAGACUGGAUUCACUGCAUGUCUUCAUCACUGCUGGAGGGAGCGCAGACUGCUAUCGCCUCUUAGAAAAUG
rnacentral:lncRNA from 1 species